rnacentral:ribozyme from 1 species
UUAUGGACUUAAUUAGAUUGAGCCUUGGUAUGGAAACUUACUAAGUGAUCACUUUCAAAUUCAGAGAAACCCUAGAAUGAACAAAAAUGGGCAAUCCUGAGACAAAUCCUAUUUUCUGAAAAUAAAUAAAGGUUUAGGUCCAUUAAAGCUCAAACUCGG